ensembl:lncRNA
GGGGGGGGACUGGAGAAGGAGAGGGGGAGGGCGAGAGGCAGUACAAAGAGAAUGGUACAGUAGAGACAUUCCUUACCAAGUCAGCUUUAAUAGCAUAGAGAGGACCACACACACACACACACACACACACAACGUAUCUGGAUGGAUAGAAGCAGCCUUCUGUACGGCCUAAUCAGGAAGCCCCAGUAGAACCUCAUCCAGGGGCUCGCCUGAGAAAUCCUCCCCAACGUUAGAGGCUUAGAGGGGGGAGAUUCAUUCCCCGUGGUCCCACACCACCCUUCAAGUUUCCAGUUUGAAUGUCAUGUGCACAAGUCCAGUGGAAUGCCCUUUCUUCCCAGCUCUAACCCCGACAACGCAGUAAUCAAUAUCACAUCCAUACAAAAAUAACAAGGUAGAACAAAAACACCCAAGAAAUAAGAAUAAUCUAUAUACAGGGUCAGUUCAGUACCAUAUUAACAAUGUGCAGGGAUACUGGAGUGAUGGAGGUAGAUAUGUAUAGUGAUGGAGGUAGAUAUGUAUAGGGGGAAGGGGCCAGGGAUACUGGAGUGAUGGAGGUAGAUAUGUAUAGGGGGAAGGGGGCAGGGAUACUGGAGUGAUGGAGGUAGAUAUGUAUAGUGAUGGAGGUAGAUAUGUAUAGGGGGAAGGGGCCAGGGAUACUGGAGUGAUGGAGGUAGAUAUGUAUAGGGGGAAGGAGACAGGGAUACUGGAGUGAUGGAGGUAGAUAUGGAUGUCUAUUUAAAACAGAUUGUUAUAUACAAGCAUUUCACUACACCCACAAUAACAUCUACUAAACACUUGUCUGUGACCAAUGAAAUUGUAUUUGAUUUAUUUAUAGGGGUAAGGGGACUAGGCAUCAGGAUAUAUGAUAAACCUAUUCCCCCUCAGGAAACUAAAAAGAUUUGGCAUGGGUCCUGAGAUCCUCAAAAGGUUCUACAGCUGCACCAUCGAGAGCAUCCUGGUUGCAUCACUGCCUCGUAUGGCAACUGCUCAGCCUCUGACCGCAAGGCAUUACAGAGGGUAGUGCGUACGGCCCAGUACAUCACCAGGGUCAAAACUCCUGCCAUCCACGACCUCUAUACCAGGCGGUGUCAGAGGAAGGCCCUAAAAAUUGUCAAAGACCCCAGGUACCCCAGUCAUAGACUGUUCUCUCUACUACCGCAUGGCAAGCGGUAUCGGUGCGCCAAGUCUAGGACAAAAAAGCUUCUCAACCAUUUUUAACCCCAAGACUCCUGAACAGGUAAUCAAAUGGACUAUUUGCAUUGUGUGUUAACAAAAAAAGGCUGUGAAAAAAAUGGCAUUGUUGUUUAUCUACUUGAUCGUACACAACAUUUAAUUAAAAUUGUUUCAAAGAAACAAAAACGCCAUGAAGAAAUCGGUAUUUUAUUCAAAAGCAUGUCACAAUUAUUGAAACCCCUGAAUU